AACGUUUGUCAACUGAAUUGAAAAACAUUGUGCAGUACUUAUGAAGAAAGAAAUGAGUUUUUCAAAAUUGUAUUGUAUACAUUCGAGAAAGAAAGUUACUUACUUGGAACUCAAACAAUAAAUAGUUUGAAUUUAACUUCUUGGAGAAUGUUUAAACCCCACAAUGCCUUGACAAACCCAACAAGUAAACUCGUUCUUCAAAAUUUAGGACUUACGAAAAUAGGUUUCAUAUAUAUACUUUAGAAAUCAUUCUCCUGGACUUAAAAAUCUUGUGUUUACAAAAGCUUAAAGGCCAUUAAAAAAUAAUUUGAUGAAAGGUUUUGAAACGUUACUUUAAAAACUGAUGCUAAGUUCUUAUAUUACACGCUACAUUUACGUGAUUGAGAUAGUACCAAAUCAAUAAUAAAAGUAAAGAUUCUACAUACUUAAACAACUAUGCUAGCACGAAUUUUUAAAAUAUAAUCCUAGAAAUUUGAGAUAAAUAAAUGAUAAAGGAAAAAAAAUGAAAGACGCCAUAAGCGUCUCCAAGCGUUUCACUAGUUUUUCUCACUAUUAGGUGCUAUUUCAAAGUUGGGAUGUGAUGACUUCAUGCUCGGGGAUGGGACAGUCUUGCAUUAAGACUUCAUAUUUUGCUCCAAGUACAUAUGCACAAAAAAUUUUGGUGGGAGUAUACUGGUAGUUGUUAUUAUUGUUGUACAUAUGCACAAAAAAUAAAGAGAAACAAAACAAGAAUUAGAAGCGGAAUUUGAUUCAAGUAUGCCUUCUGAUAUAAAAGCACAUUCAAAUAUUACAUGACAUUUAGACAGAAGUUGAAGCCUCUUAGAAUUAGUACUUUUUUAUAUAAAGAAAUCCUAAGUUUAUGCCAUAAGUUGAUGGGUAAAGAAAGCAACAUAAACUUACUCAACUUUGAUUUUAAUUGUUGGUUUUCAAAAGAACAGAAUGUUCUAACUUUAUCAGGCAUGAAUUUGUAGCAAACGAUUUCAACAAGUUUCUCCCUUAGCAAGUCUCUCCCUUCACACAUCGUGCUACCCAUGAAUAUAUAGUGCCGCGCGACCUUAACUUCGAAUUUCUCUACUAUUGCUCGAAGCCAAACAGAGACAAAGAAAUAAUAUCCAUUUUUGGGAAAGAGAAAAAAACAAUAAGGCAUAAGUGCUUUAGGGAGGAGAGGCAGUCAAAAAACCUCUCGAAUAUGGGGUGAAAGUAGGCGGCUCCAGCUUUUGGUUUGGAAGGGUGAAGUCAGCGGCUGGGUUCAACUUUAUAGGUGGGAUUGUGAAUUUUAGGUCUCCAAAAUAGCCGUUUGAAAUUGAAUCUUUGCCAUGGAGAUUUUCCUACAGAUAUUUUCAAAAGUUUUUGGUCUUUUCUGUUGAAGAAGAACAUUAAAGAUCUUGGUGACAAAGACUCUUACCCAGAUAUGGAAGGGCAGUGAUCUGCCAUGACUGAAGGAUAAUUGAAUCGCUAGCCAAAAAUGACUACGCAGACAAGGGAAAACUCUGUCAUAGAAAAAAGAGGAUAGAGAAAGAACACUGAAACGUUUGACUGUGGUAAACGAGGAUAGAGGAGUAGGCUAGCGCGUGAGUUUGGCGUGUGU
rnacentral:lncRNA from 1 species